UUUGCUGACGAGUGGCGGACGGGUGAGUAAUGUCUGGGAAACUGCCUGAUGGAGGGGGAUAACUACUGGAAACGGUAGCUAAUACCGCAUAACGUCGCAAGACCAAAGAGGGGGACCUUCGGGCCUCUUGCCAUCGGAUGUGCCCAGAUGGGAUUAGCUAGUAGGUGGGGUAACGGCUCACCUAGGCGACGAUCCCUAGCUGGUCUGAGAGGAUGACCAGCCACACUGGAACUGAGACACGGUCCAGACUCCUACGGGAGGCAGCAGUGGGGAAUAUUGCACAAUGGGCGCAAGCCUGAUGCAGCCAUGCCGCGUGUAUGAAGAAGGCCUUCGGGUUGUAAAGUACUUUCAGCGGGGAGGAAGGGAGUAAAGUUAAUACCUUUGCUCAUUGACGUUACCCGCAGAAGAAGCACCGGCUAACUCCGUGCCAGCAGCCGCGGUAAUACGGAGGGUGCAAGC
rnacentral:rRNA from 1 species